rnacentral:lncRNA from 1 species
CGGGGCUACGCUGUUAGCAGCGGAAGACUUGGCUGCCGAGAGCAGUGCGGCUUGGGCGCGUCUGCCUCCCUUCGUCAGUCUGUGUUGGUUCUUUGUGAAGACUCACGGCUUGACGCCAUCUAGGGAGACAGCAGCAUGGCUGCAGUAAAGCUCUGGACCGAACCUAGUGUAUAGGACGCCCGCAGUAUUGGAGCCCGAGUGGAAAGCUAAGUGAGGGAGUCCUGUGGAAGUCCAUGGGCUCAGUCAUCUUAUCUGACGCACCCUUUCUUAGAUAAAGCCACUUAGAGUUGAGUUCCCCGCUAGCUCUAGCUGUGGCGAACCGUUCCUCCGCCUGAUUCUUCCUCUGAAGAAAUACCCAUUCUCCCAGUUCCUCAUGCUAGCCUGGGAUACAUGAAACUCCAUUUCAAAGAAGACAAAAAGGAAAUGAGUAACAACAAUAAAAAACUAGGUAAGCAAAGACUCCCUUUGUUUUUAGGACCCUUAGUAAUUUACAAGUGUUUCUGCCAAUAGAUCAGUAACUGAAAGCCACACUCUCAACUCCCCAUGUGUGGGGUGCAU